CAAGUCCCUGCUGGGUCUGGUAGAUUGUUGCUGCCUCUUUACCCAAACAAGAGGCAACUUCUGAAAACACCAUCUUCACAAGCUGGACCUCGAGUUCUCCGAAGGGGCCUGUGACGGAAGGAAGUGAAUGGAAGGUGGAAGGGCAGGACAAGUGGGUAAACUGACAGAGGCUGCCGCUCGCUUCCCUGACCCCAGCCCUGCAGAUGCCAUGGAGGCCAGAGGAAGGUGGAUGGAACUACAAAAGGAGAGUGAGGAUGUGUGGAACCAACCCCUAAGAAGAAAGAAGAUGAUGGGUCUCCAGGUUGAAGAGUGGGAACCCCCAGAGUAAGAGAGGAGCACUCCUAUAGCCACCAGUACAAAACCUUUCUCGAGAAAUCCUCCUCCUCUUCAUUAUUUGAAAAGCUGAGUCCAUUUGAAGACUCUCUCCUUCCCCCAGGGGAGACCUCUGAGAUGCUCCAGAGAAAACUGGAUAUACUGAAGGGCACCAGAGCUGGAAGCCGAG